CAGUCGCCGCGGGAAUACGAAGGGUGCAAGCGUUACUCGGAAUUACUGGGCGUAAAGCGUGCGUAGGUGGUGGUUUAAGUCCGUUGUGAAAGCCCUGGGCUCAACCUGGGAAUUGCAGUGGAUACUGGGUCACUAGAGUGUGGUAGAGGAUAGUGGAAUUUCCGGUGUAGCAGUGAAAUGCGUAGAGAUCGGAAGGAACAUCUGUGGCGAAGGCGACCACCUGGGCUCAUACUGACACUGAGGUGCGAAAGCGUGGGGAGCAAACAGGAUUAGUACCCCCGUAGUCCCUGUCUCUUAUACA
rnacentral:rRNA from 1 species